rnacentral:rRNA from 1 species
CGGACGGGUGAGUAACACGUGGAUAACCUACCUAUAAGACUGGGAUAACUUCGGGAAACCGGAGCUAAUACCGGAUAAUAUUUUGAACCGCAUGGUUCAAAAGUUAAAGACGGUCUUGCUGUCACUUAUAGAUGGAUCCGCGCUGCAUUAGCUAGUUGGUAAGGUAACGGCUUACCAAGGCAACGAUGCAUAGCCGACCUGAGAGGGUGAUCGGCCACACUGGAACUGAGACACGGUCCAG